UACGAGAGGCCCAAACGUUAUUCGGAAUUACUGGGCUUAAAGAGUUCGUAGGCGGCGCAGAAAGUAGGGUGUGAAAGCCCUCGGCUUAACCGAGGAAUUGCGCUCUAAACUACUGUGCUUGAGGAACCUAGAGGUGAGCAGAACAGAUGGUGGAGCGGUGAAAUGCGUUGAUAUCAUCUGGAAUACCGGAGGCGAAGGCGACUCACUGGGGGUUUUCUGACGCUGAGGAACGAAAGCCAGGGUAGCGAACGGG
rnacentral:rRNA from 1 species